rnacentral:misc_RNA from 1 species
GUAAUCCUACUUAAUUCACCGAUGCAUUUUUUUAGUUCACAACCCUAGCCUAGUUAUAAGUCAAUGCCAAAAGGACUCUUCGCGUCAAUUACCAGAAACUUCCAUUUCGACUGCACAGACACAAUACCCUACAAGCCUGCCUAGACCACCCCCACAAUUGCUAAUGUAGCUCAUUUUUCAGUCAGGUGAUUCAUCAAACAGCUUAUGUGCAUGACAUAGCAAGUACAGCUGAAACCCUAAUUCGUUCAUGUAACCUCACAAUUUUGUAGGGGAUUAUAAUUAUAGCUCAAUAACCACAAUUGCAAUAACAUUCAACAAUUCUCAACGAACAAUUUGAACAUGACAAUCAAAAAU